rnacentral:rRNA from 1 species
UACGUAGGGGGCAAGCGUUAUCCGGAUUUACUGGGUGUAAAGGGAGCGCAGACGGCAGUGCAAGUCUGAUGUGAAAUCCCGGGGCUCAACCCCGGAACUGCAUUGGAAACUGCGCAGCUCGAGUAUCGGAGAGGUAAGCGGAAUUCCUAGUGUAGCGGUGAAAUGCGUAGAUAUUAGGAGGAACACCGGCGGCGAAGGCGGCUUACUGGACGAAGACUGACGUUGAGGCUCGAAAGCGCGGGGAGCAAACAGGAUUAGAUACCCCGGUAGUCCCUGAG